UACAGAGGUCUCAAGCGUUGUUCGGAUUCCUUGGGCGUAAAGGGUGCGUAGGCGGCGCGGUAAGUCGGGUGUGAAAUCUCGGGGCUUAACUCCGAAACUGCAUUCGAUACUGCCGUGCUUGAGGACUGGAGAGGAGACUGGAAUUUACGGUGUAGCGGUGAAAUGCGUAGAUAUCGUAAGGAAGACCAGUGGCGAAGGCGGGUCUCUGGACAGUUCCUGACGCUGAGGCACGAAGGCCAGGGGAGCAAACGGG
rnacentral:rRNA from 1 species